rnacentral:rRNA from 1 species
AUUGAACGCUGGCGGAAUGCUUUACACAUGCAAGUCGAGCGGCAGCGCGGGGCAACCUGGCGGCGAGCGGCGAACGGGUGAGUAACACAUCGGAACGUACCCUGUCGUGGGGGAUAACACAUCGAAAGAUGUGCUAAUACCGCAUACGACCUGAGGGUGAAAGCGGGGGAUCGCAAGACCUCGCGCGAUAGGAGCGGCCGAUGGCGGAUUAGCUAGUUGGUGAGGUAAAGGCUCACCAAGGCGACGAUCCGUAGCUGGUCUGAGAGGACGACCAGCCACACUGGAACUGAGACACGGUCCAGACUCCUACGGGAGGCAGCAGUGGGGAAUUUUGGACAAUGGGCGCAAGCCUGAUCCAGCCAUUCCGCGUGAGUGAAGAAGGCCUUCGGGUUGUAAAGCUCUUUCGGCAGGAACGAAACGGUGGGGGCUAAUAUCCCCUGCUAAUGACGGUACCUGAAGAAGAAGCACCGGCUAACUACGUGCCAGCCGCCGCCGUAA